ensembl:miRNA Mir1285 microRNA mir-1285
GGUCAGAACUCCUGUGCUGAUCAGUAAGUAGUGGGAUGGUGUCUGUGCAUAGCUACUGCACUCCAGCCUGGGCAACAUAGUGAGACCUCG